rnacentral:lncRNA from 1 species
UCUCGCUCUGUGGUCCAAGCUGGAGUGCAGUGGCGGGAUCUCAGCUCACUUCAACCUCUACCUCCCAAGUUCAAGCAAACCUCCUGCCUCAGCCUCAUGAGUAGCUGGGAUUACAGGCAUCCACCACCAGAGACGGCUAAUUUUUUCUUUGUAUACUUUUAUUUAAUUCGGCUUAGGUUACUUGUUUAUUAGUAGUAGUUUUGCAUCUAUGGGAUUGUUGUAUAAAAUAAAUGGUUUAAAUAUGUAGGAUA